GUUGUUCUACUCCUGGACCCCUUUUAGCAUUUAAUUUAAUUUAAUUUUUUCUAUUUUAACGCCAAAUGCUACUGAAGGGCAUGCAUGUACACCAAGGAAAUAAUAGUUGAAUGGUUAAACUGUCCGUAAUAGUUUGACUUUGAGAGGUUGGUCCAAAUUAGGUGUGUUCGAGGAGGAGUAAGUGCAUUUCCCAAAAAAUAAAGAGAGAGGGAAAAAGAAAAGGAGGAGCAUCGAGGCGAACGAAUUUCACUGUUUGCUCGGUGGUUGUUCGAUCUCGGAACAGGGCUAUACUCAAACCCGAAUUUCCUGUAAUCGUGUUUGGUACCGAUUCUUACUCGGGAAACCGUAGUUCCAGCUCGGAAAUCUCGCUGUUCGUGAAAUUCCUGUGAAUUCCAUGCUCCGGUUGAAGUUCGGAGAAGAAGGCACCCGAUCCGAGAAAUGAUAACCCGGUCCAAACUCGCCGAGCAACUCAGAGACUACCAGAUCCGAUCCCAGCAAAAGUGUCCCGCUCUCACUGUCUUCUCUCCCAAACCCCAUAUCACUUCCUGAUGGAUGCUUGGACAGUUUUGACAACAUGAGACCCGCUGAGGUUGCAGCUGGUUUGGAUAUGUCAAGGAUAGGCAGGGUAUGAAGGAAAAUGUGGAGGGAUAGAGGGAGAAUGGGUGUGAUUGCACAGGAAUCGACUCAGUCAGGAUUUGAUUGGACGUGACUGCUUGGUUUUAUCUUUGCUUGGCUGAUGUCUCUGUGGCGAUCUUUUGGGCUUUAGUGUUUAGCGUGCUUGUGGUGUCAUCCUAUGUGUCCAUGUACUUCAGGCACUUUUGGCUCUCAUUUGUGAUUAUCUGCCUCGGUAUCCUUCUUCCAGUACGCCUAAGAAAAUCUAGGCAGGCACUGGCCAGGAAGAAGGAGGGAAGAUUGUUGUUACCAUUAUCCAUGUGAACAUCUAUGGCAGUGAAAUCAUGCAGCCAUGUUCUUUAGCUGAUAAUGACUCAUUGCUCACCUUCGAUUCAUUUGGCUUUCGCUAGAAUGUAUUAGACACUUGGGUACUGAUAUGGUGAAAACGGCUCUUGCUUGCAGCUUUUUGAGAUAGAUGGUUUUCUCCUCUCUCUCUCCCUCUCUCAAUGGUCGUCUAGUGGCAGUUGGAUACUGCGAAAUACAGUUACUAUUAUAGUGAGUGGAUCGAUUUGUAGGAUAUUGUAGGGUUCAUAGGGUGGCUGGAUAUGUGAAUUAUAUAAUCCUGCAUGCUGAUGGUGCAUUAUGAUAGGAUUCGUUUGGUGCCUGCGAUGCAUACAACUGACGCAUGGCAUGUGCUUUGAGUGCAAAAAAGUUGACGUAGUGGCACAGGAAAGAAAGUAACUUUAUCAAACAUGUUGUCCACAUGAGCCGCAGCUUUGGCCCUAGAGAAUACAAUUUGACUUUGCUUAAUAUUUCUUUUUUCUAGGAAUUUUAGUGACUGAUGAUGGGUAGUGUUAACCUGUGGAAUGGUGUCAGUAGGAACGUUGUGUUUUAUAGCUAAAAGAAUGGCAUGUUAAUAGAACCGAAAGCCUUACUACUCGGGUAAAGUGUCAUCCCAGACCUUAUCACGAAAGAGAAUUUAUCUA